AGCUCCAAUAGGAUAUAUCAAAGUUGUUGCAGUUGAAAAGCUCGUAGUCGUAUUUCUGGUGGGUUGAUGCUUUCGCUCUCCGAUGAAAGUCGGUGUUGACGAGGGCCGCCCGCCAUUUUGUGGGAUCAAGUGGCUAGGUUUCGGUUCACUCUGUGACCUAGUCGCUCCACUCCGUCACUGAGAGUAAAUUGGAGUGCUCAAAGCAGGCUUUAUAGCUUUGAACAUCUUAGCUUGGAAUGACAAAGUACGACUUUUUGUUUACUUUGUUGGUUAUGAACGAGAAGUAAUGAUAAAUAGGAACAGUUGCGGGGGUACUCGUAUUGGGAAGUCAGAGGUGAAAUUCUUGGAUUUUUCCACGACGAACGACUGCGAAAGCAUUUACCAAGGAUGUUUUCAUUG
rnacentral:rRNA from 1 species